CGACGCGUCACCGAUAUUUUUGACAGCUACUUCACUGUUUGCAAGUUUUUCUGAAAAUGUGUUCUAUGCCUAAACUGAAAGAAUUUCAGUGUGACGUUUCUCCUCAGGACAAAACUGUUUGCACUCUAAAACUAGUGGUAGAAGGAUCGUCUGACGGACAAAAACAGAUCUCGAUCGACAUGCAUGCAAGUGAGUUAUCGACUACUGUGCAUCUUCUGCAGCAAGCAAGAGACCAAAUCGGAACGCUUGUGCGAACAAAGAAAACAUAAAUGCGAUAAUAACAAUAGCAAUCUAAUAUGCAAGACCAAAAUGAUUUAUCACAUUCAACCAACUAUAAAGGACUUAGGCAUUUCUUUUCUAUCUCGUUUACUAGAUAGAAUCCAUUUUGAAAUAAACUGUUUCUCAAUCUC